UGGGCGUAAGCGCACGCAGGCGGUCUGUCAAGUCGGAUGUGAAAUCCCCGGGCUCAACCUGGGAACUGCAUUCGAAACUGGCAGGCUAGAGUCUUGUAGAGGGGGGUAGAAUUCCAGGUGUAGCGGUGAAAUGCGUAGAGAUCUGGAGGAAUACCGGUGGCGAAGGCGGCCCCCUGGACAAAGACUGACGCUCAGGUGCGAAAGCGUGGGGAGCAAACAGGAUUAGAUACCCUGGUAGUCCACGCCGUAAACGAUGUCGACUUGGAGGUUGUGCCCUUGAGGCGUGGCUUCCGGAGCUAACGCGUUAAGUCGACCGCCUGGGGAGUACGGCCGCAAGGUUAAAACUCAAAUGAAUUGACGGGGGCCCGCACAAGCGGUGGAGCAUGUGGUUUAAUUCGAUGCAACGCGAAGAACCUUACCUACUCUUGACAUCCAGAGAACUUACCAGAGAUGCUUUGGUGCCUUCGGGAACUCUGAGACAGGUGCUGCAUGGCUGUCGUCAGCUCGUGUUGUGAAAUGUUGGGUUAAGUCCCCGCACGAGCGCACCCCUUAUCCUUUGUUGCCAGCGGUUAGGCCGGGGACUCAAAGGAGACUGCCAGUGAUAAACUG
rnacentral:rRNA from 1 species